rnacentral:rRNA from 1 species
CCUACGGGAGGCAGCAGUGGGGAAUAUUGCACAAUGGGGGAAACCCUGAUGCAGCGACGCCGCGUGAAGGAAGAAGUAUUUCGGUAUGUAAACUUCUAUCAGCAGGGAAGAAAAUGACGGUACCUGACUAAGAAGCCCCGGCUAACUACGUGCCAGCAGCCGCGGUAAUACGUAGGGGGCAAGCGUUAUCCGGAUUUACUGGGUGUAAAGGGAGCGUAGGCGGUAAUGCAAGUCAGAAGUGAAAGCCCGGGGCGCAACUCCGGGACUGCUUUUGAAACUGUGGUACUAGAUUGCAGGAGAGGUAA